UUUGACCUCAGAUCAGGUAGGACUACCCGCUGAACUUAAGCAUAUCAAUAAGCGGAGGAAAAGAAACUAACAAGGAUUCCCCUAGUAACGGCGAGUGAAGAGGGAAGAGCUCAAAUUUGAAAUCUGGCGGCCUACGGUCGUCCGAGUUGUAAUCUAGAGAAGUGUUUUCCGUGCUGGACCGUGUACAAGUCCUUUGGAACAAGGCGUCAUAGAGGGUGAGAAUCCCGUCUACGACACGGACUACCAGUGCUUUGUGAUACACUCUCAACGAGUCGAGUUGUUUGGGAAUGCAGCUCAAAAUGGGUGGUAAAUUCCAUCUAAAGCUAAAUAUGGGCGAAAGACCGAUAGCGAACAAGUACCGUGAGGGAAAGAUGAAAAGCACUUUGGAAAGAGAGUUAAACAGUACGUGAAAUUGUUGAAAGGGAAACGCUUGAAGUCAGUCGCGUCUUCAGAAACUCAGCCUGGCUUAUGCCUGGUGUACUUUUCUGUUGGACGGGCCAGCAUCAGUUUUGGCCACCAGAAAAAGGCAGGAGGAAGGUAGCACCUCCGGGUGUGUUAUAGCCUCUUGUCGUAUGUGGUGGCUAGGACUGAGGACUGCAGCAUGCCUUUAUGGCCGGGGUUCGCCCACGUAACAUGCUUAGGAUGCUGGCGUAAUGGCUUUAAGCGACCCGUCUUGAAACACGGACCAAGGAGUCUAACAUGCCUGCGAGUAUUUGGGUGGCAAACCCAUAUGCGGAAUGAAAGUGAACAGUUGGGACUUCUGUCAUGGAAGGCACCGACGCCCGGACCAGACCUACUGUGACGGAUCCGAGGUAGAGCAUGUAUGUUGGGACCCGAAAGAUGGUGAACUAUGCCUGAGUAGGGUGAAGCCAGAGGAAACUCUGGUGGAGGCUCGUAGCGAUUCUGACGUGCAAAUCGAUCGUCGAACUUGGGUAUAGGGGCGAAAGACUAAUCGAAC
rnacentral:rRNA from 1 species